GGUUUAAUUCGAUGAUACGCGAGGAACCUUACCCGGGCUUGAAUUGCAGAGGAAGGAUUUGGAGACAAUGACGCCCUUCGGGGCCUCUGUGAAGGUGCUGCAUGGUUGUCGUCAGCUCGUGCCGUGAGGUGUCGGCUUAAGUGCCAUAACGAGCGCAACCCCUCUCCUUAGUUGCCAUCAGGUGAAGCUGGGCACUCUGGGGACACUGCCACCGUAAGGUGUGA
rnacentral:rRNA from 1 species